AGCAUCAGAUAACAAUUUCACUUGGGUAGCUUCAGGCAAUUUUAUUGUAACUUGAAGAAGCUUCUCUUCUUCAGCUUUCUGAAUAAGUAGCCACUGUGAAUCUUUAAACUCGGAUAUCGGCUUGUUGCGCAGCCAUUUUACACUUGAAAGUUGAUGAUUAGAAUCUAUUGUCGUAUUCCCUUCGGGAGUAGGGCUGGUUGAGACAACAGCUUU
rnacentral:misc_RNA from 1 species